rnacentral:tRNA from 1 species
GUUCGCUUGGCCUAAUGAAUAAGGUGCUCGCCUUUGAAGCUGGAGAUUAUGGGUUCGAGUCCUAUCGUGAAUG